AUUGAACGCUGGCGGCAUGCUUUACACAUGCAAGUCGAGCGGCAGCGCGGGGGCAACCCUGGCGGCGAGCGGCGAACGGGUGAGUAAUGCAUCGGAACGUAUCCUCGAGUGGGGGAUAACCCAGCGAAAGUUGGGCUAAUACCGCAUGAGCUCUGAGGAGGAAAGCGGGGGACCUGCGAGGGCCUCGCGCUGGAGGAGCGGCCGAUGUCCGAUUAGCUAGUUGGUGGGGUAAAGGCUUACCAAGGCGACGAUCGGUAGCUGGUCUGAGAGGAUGAUCAGCCACACUGGGACUGAGACACGGCCCAGACUCCUACGGGAGGCAGCAGUGGGGAAUUUUGGACAGUGGGGGCAACCCUGAUCCAGCAAUGCCGCGUGAGUGAAGAAGGCCUUCGGGUUGUAAAGCUCUUUCGGACGGAACGAAAUGGGCGGGACUAAUACUCCUGUCUGAUGACGGUACCGUAAGAAGAAGCACCGGCUAACUACGUG
rnacentral:rRNA from 1 species